GGGUAAAUAACUCAGUUGGUAGAGUGCUCGCUUCGCAAUCAAAGCUGCGUGAAGUCCAGGGUUCGACUCCCUGUUUAUCCA